GUAUUGUUUAUAAUGUUAUGACGUUCAUUACACAAUGUUUGUAAAAGAACCGCAUCCGAAGACGCAAUUCAACAGUUCACAGGUGUUAGGGAUAUAGUUUUUAGGCACUAAGGCCAAUCACUAAUGAUCCUUCCGCAGGUUCACCUACGGAAA
rnacentral:misc_RNA from 1 species